rnacentral:RNase_P_RNA from 1 species
CAGGUUUUGCGGGUGAUUGCUCUUGCUUACGAAAUUUCGUUUUGAUUUAUCAAUUUGGUAAGUCAGCAAGGGAGGAAAGUCCGGACUUCAAAGAGCAGUGCAAGGGGUAACGCCCCUCCGUUGUAAGGCGAGGAACAGUGGAACAGAAAGAAUAUCCAGGGCUAUAAUCUUGAGAACGGGAACGGGAGUUUUCAAGGGAGCUGCUGGAGUGAAAACAGCCAAACUCUGCAUGAAGCAAGAUCAAAUAGGGAAGCAUUAGUAGCUCGGCUCGGGUGAAGCUUUCGGGUAGGAUCGCUCGAGGGUUUUGGAGACAAAACUCCCAGAUAAAUAAUCAUCGAAAAUGAUAGAGAAAACUUUUGGGACUUUAUCAUUUAGACAGAAUCCGGCUUAUAGCAAAACCAGUUCC